rnacentral:rRNA from 1 species
AGUCGAACGGUAGAGUAGCAAUACUUGAGAGUGGCGAACGGGUGAGUAAUAUAUCGGAACGUGCCCAGUCGUGGGGGAUAACGUAGAGAAAUUUACGCUAAUACCGCAUACGAUCUAAGGAUGAAAGCGGGGGAUCGCAAGACCUCGCGCGAUUGGAGCGGCUGAUAUCAGAUUAGGUUGUUGGUGAGGUAAAAGCUCACCAAGCCGACGAUCUGUAGCUGGUUUGAGAGAACGACCAGCCACACUGGGACUGAGACACGGCCCAGACUCCUACGGGAGGCAGCAGUGGGGAAUUUUGGACAAUGGGCGAAAGCCUGAUCCAGCAAUGCCGCGUGUGGGAAGAAGGCCUUCGGGUUGUAAACCACUUUUGUACGGAACGAAACGGUUCGCUUUAAUACAGUGGGCUAAUGACGGUACCGUAAGAAUAAGCACCGGCUAACUACGUGCCAGCAGCCGCGGUAAUACGUAAGGUGCGAGCGUUAAUCGGAAUUACUGGGCGUAAAGCGUGCGCAGGCGGUUAUAUAAGACAGUUGUGAAAUCCCCGGGCUCAACCUGGGAAUUGCAUCUGUGACUGUAUAGCUAGAGUACGGUAGAGGGGGAUGGAAUUCCGCGUGUAGCAGUGAAAUGCGUAGAUAUGCGGAGGAACACCGAUGGCGAAAGCAAUCCCCUGGACCUGUACUGACGCUCAUGCACGAAAGCGUGGGGAGCAAACAAGAUUAGAUACCCUGGUACUCCACGCCCUAAACGAUGUCCACUGGUUGUUGGGUGCAUUAGUACUCAGUAACGAAGCUAACGCGUGAAGUUGACCGCCUGGGGAGUACGGCCGCAAGCUGAACUCAUAGGAAUUGACGGGACCCGCACAGCGUGGAUGAUGUGGUUUAUUCGAUGCA